ACACAACCGGAGCACCCCCCACCCCUUCUCUCACGGGGGGAAAUGGAGACACACACCUCGGAGCAGCCCCACCCGGCCCGUUCUCUGCAGGGAGCGGAAAUGGAGACACACACCCGGAACAGCCCCCCAGCCCCUUCUCUGCAGGAGGGGAAUGGAGACACACACCCGGAAGCAGCCCCCCCAGCCCCUCUCUGCAGGGAGGGGAAAUGGAGACACACACCCGAGCAGCCCCACCGGCCCCUCUCUGCAGGGAGGGAAAUGAGACACACACCCGGAGCAGCCCCCCCCAGCUUCUCUGCCAGGAGGGAAAUGGAGACACACACCCGGAGCAGCCCACCAGCCCCCCCUGGGCGUUCUCUGCAGGGAGGGAAAUGGAGACACACAACCCGAGCGGCCCCCGCCCGUUCU